rnacentral:rRNA from 1 species
UGGGCUUGACAUGUAGGGAAAAGCCGUAGAAAUACGGUGUCCGUAAGGGUCCUACAC